ensembl:lncRNA
GUAAGAUUCAUUACUGCCUCCUGACUACAUCACAAAGAAGGAAAAAGUCCAUUGAUAUCAUACAGUAGAACAGAGCUACAGCCUGGGUGAACAAGCUAAACAUGCUAGCUUUGAUUAUAACUGGCUGUGAGACUUGUAGGGAGACACGGUACAACUAAGUAUAGGAAGGCCUGACCUUUGGUAUUCAGGUCUGGAUUUUGUUGUGUUCUCCAGAAAAUACACAGUACAUGAAGAAAAUGUUAUGCAAAUUGCAUUUGACUGAUUGAUUUAUUCUCUCCAGCAGGACGAUGAGGAGGGCAUCUGGGCAUGACCGUCGCCAUGGGAACUGAAGCUCCAAUCAUGAGAGCUGCUGGAGAGCCGGGUUUUGAACCAAACACACACUCCUGUUCAUCCCGGUGGAGCAGCUCUACUGAUCCAGGGGCCAGACUGACUGCAGCAGAGUCCCAGGGUCCUGCCCACCUGCCAUGGUUGAAGACAAUCCUUUUCCCACCUUCCAUUGCAGAGAUGCUCUCUUUCCUCCCAGUGUUUGACAAUCAGAGAGUAGAGACUCGUAAAGUCCCAUGAGCUCCGAGGCGCCGUUGGACAUGUAACCCUGACUGUUAUACACUGUACUUAUGAACUACGGCUUUAACUCUCCAACAGUCAAUCAAUCAUCUCACUGCCCCUGCCAGGUUCACUGACUGACUGAUAAAUCCUAGACAACAAACUAGUCAGCCUAAAAACGAGAAUGACCAAUCAGAAAGGACCAUUAAGAGUGACCAAACAUAAUUUGUUUUGUGUGUUAUUUUUUUUUAGAUUGUUUGUGAGCCCUUGAAAGACUAUGGGAGAGAGCAAAUCCUGUUGUGGGUUUGUUUACGUAGCCACAUACGGAUAGCAUUAGCAUGGUCCACAACAUGGACCUCAGAUCCACAUGGACCUUCUCAAUGUACCGUGCCAAAGGAACCACUCCCUGUCAGCAGAGAGACACUGAGAGGGGAACCGGGUUCCAAUUACUCUAGAACCCUCAAAGAGAACCCAGAGAAGUGUUCUGUGUAUGCUACCUUUCUCUGAAUGUUCUUAAGUCUGGAAACACUCCUGUCAUCCUAUCACUGGACAGCUCUCUUGGUUGACAGUGCUCCAGGUAGACGAUGUCCAUAGGAACUGAUCUAGGAUCAGUGCCCUUUCUAAAUCCUUAACUAUCAAGUGGGUAAACAAAACUGACCUCAGACCAGUUUCUAGGGGCAACUUCGUCCCUCUCCGGGUGAAGGGUACAAACUGACCAAACAAAACCCUCUGAGGAAAUCUAACUAUGAUCUGUUUAGAGUUUUUUUUUUCUCUUGUGUUUUUCUCUCCCUGCUGUACUUUGUUUGACUAACGAGUAUCAUGUUGUGUUUGUUUUUCUACAUCUGAAACAGAUUGAGUACUGUUCUCUUUGAGGUUUGUAUCAGUUGUGUGUUUCUGCUUGUGGGUGAUGUUUUAUUUAGUAGUUUAUUUAUUGAGUAGUUUAAUUGCAACAUGCAUUGGAGUGGCUGUUUUUAGGUAUCCAUGUUGAAGUCAGCACUCUCCAAUCAUCAUUUUGGAAUCAGAGAUUGAGGAGUGCUGCUUUAAGGGGAUGAGUUGUCUAUACAUAUCAGUUUACCAGUGAGGAUGUCGUGGUGUUUGAAGGUGACAUGAUGCAACAUGAUCUCCGUUUUACUGAACCAGCAGUAAGUGUUUAGCUUGUACAGUUUUCGCUCUGUGUUUAGCUUGUACAGUUUUGUGUGUGUGUGUGUGUGUGUGUGUGUGUGUGUGUGUGUGUGUGUGUGUGUGUGUGUGUGUGUGUGUGUGAGAGAGAGAGAGAGAGAACAGCGCGAGGUCUCAAUAUGCUCAAACUCUGCUAUUGACUUGUUUAUACAGUGUGUUGCCAUGGUCAAUAUUAGUUUCUCGGUCAAUAAAAGUGUGGCGUUUUUCUCAACUGUUCGGAGAAUGUAUCUCUAUCAGAUA